rnacentral:SRP_RNA from 1 species
AGCCGGGGUGGUAGCGGUGCCCUGUACCAACAAUCCGCUAUAGUUGGGGUGAUGCCGAACGGAGGAUCGCUAAGCGGUAGAGCCGCCCAUCAUAAGUGGCGUUGACGCUUGGGUCUUGCACGGCGGGAAUCUACGAACCGGGUCAGGUCAGGAAUGGAGCAGCCCUAAGUAGAAGCUCCCGGGUGAUGCGAGGGUGCCUGGGCUGAGUUAACUGUGGUGGUAACGUCUGUCGUUUUGAUUCGAAGGGAGGCGCUCG